rnacentral:rRNA from 1 species
GAUGAACGCUAGCGGCAGGCCUAAUACAUGCAAGCUGAACGGUAAAUGUUGUAGCAAUACAAUAUGAGAGUAGCGUAAGGGUGCGUAACAUGUAUGCAAUCUACCCGCAACAGGAGGAUAGCUCCCCGAAAGGGGAAUUAAUACUCCAUAAGAUCACGAGAAGGCAUCUGAUUGUGAUUAAACUCCAAGGGGUUGCGGAUGAGCAUGCGCAUGAUUAGUUAGUUGGCGGGGUAACGGCCCACCAAGACGAUGAUCAUUAGGGGAACUGAGAGGUUGAUCCCCCACACUGGCACUGAGAUACGGGCCAGACUCCUACGGGAGGCAGCAGUAGGGAAUAUUGGUCAAUGGGUGAAAGCCUGAACCAGCCAUGCCGCGUGCAGGAAGAAAGCCUUCUGGGUUGUAAACUGCUUUUAUCUGGGGAUAAAAUACCCGUGCGCGGGGAAUUGAAGGUACCAGAUGAAUAAGCCACGGCUAACUACGUGCCAGCCGCCGCGGUAAUAC